rnacentral:rRNA from 1 species
CCUACGGGUGGCAGCAGUGGGGAAUAUUGCACAAUGGGGGAAACCCUGAUGCAGCGACGCCGCGUGAGUGAAGAAGUAUCUCGGUAUGUAAAGCUCUAUCAGCAGGGAAGAAAAUGAUGGUACCUGACUGAGAAGCCACGGCCAACAACGUGUCAGCAGCCGCGGUAAUACGUAGGGCGCAAGCGUGAUGCGGAUUUACUGGGUGUAAAGGGAGCGUAGACGGCGCUGCCAGUCCGGAGUGAAAGCCCAUGGCUUAAACAUGGUACUGCUCUAGAAACUGUGGGGCUUGAGUGCGGGAGGGGCAGGCGGAAUUCCUAGUGUAGCGGUGAAAUGCGUAGAUAUUAGGAGGAACACCAGCGGCGAAGGCGGCCUGCUGGACCGUAACUGACGUUGAGGCUCGAAAGCGUGGGGAGCAAACAGGAUUAGAUACCCCUGUAGUC